rnacentral:rRNA from 1 species
AUUGAACGCUGGCGGCAUGCCUUACACAUGCAAGUCGAACGGCAGCACGGGAGCAAUCCUGGUGGCGAGUGGCGAACGGGUGAGUAAAGUAUCGGAACGUGCCCAGUCGUGGGGGAUAACGCAGCGAAAGCUGUGCUAAUACCGCAUACGAUCUAUGGAUGAAAGCGGGGGAUCGCAAGACCUCGCGCGAUUGGAGCGGCCGAUAUCAGAUUAGCUAGUUGGUGGGGUAAAGGCUCACCAAGGCGACGAUCUGUAGCUGGUCUGAGAGGACGACCAGCCACACUGGAACUGAGACACGGUCCAGACUCCUACGGGAGGCAGCAGUGGGGAAUUUUGGACAAUGGGCGCAGGCCUGAUCCAGCAAUGCCGCGUGCAGGAUGAAGGCCUUCGGGUUGUAAACUGCUUUUGUACGGAGCGAAAAGGCUCUCUCUAAUACAGGGGGCUCAUGACGGUACCGUAAGAAUAAGCACCGGCUAACUACGUGCCAGCCGCCGCGGUAA